UACGGAGGGUGCGAGCGUUGUCCGGAAUCACUGGGCGUAAAGGGCGCGUAGGCGGCCUGAUAAGUUGGGGGUGAAAUCCUGCGGCUUAACCGCAGGGCUGCCUUCUAAACUGUCAGGCUCGAGCACAGUAGAGGCAGGUGGAAUUCCCGGUGCAGCGGUGGAAUGCGUAGAGAUCGGGAAGAACAUCAGUGGCGAAGGCGGCCUGCUGGGCUGUUGCUGACGCUGAGGCGCGACAGCGUGGGGAGCAAACAGG
rnacentral:rRNA from 1 species